rnacentral:rRNA from 1 species
GACAGAGGGUGCGAACGUUGCUCGGAAUUACUGGGCGUAAAGCGCGUGUAGGCGGGCCGACAAGUCAGGUGUGAAAUCCCCGAGCUCAACCCUGGAACUGCCUUUGAUACUGACGAUCUGGAGAUCGGGAGAGGUUGGUGGAAUUCCGAGUGUAGAGGUGAAAUUCGUAGAUAUUCGGAGGAACACCAGAAGCGAAGGCGGCCAACUGGCCCGAUACUGACGCUGAGGCGCGAAAGCGUGGGGAGCAAACAGG